rnacentral:rRNA from 1 species
UAGGGAAUAUUGUGCAAUGGGGGAAACCCUGACACAGCCAUGCCGCGUGUGUGAAGAAGGCCCUAGGGUUGUAAAGCACUUUCAGUUGUGAAGAAUAAGCCAAGCCAAUACUCUGGUUUAGUGACAUUAGCAACAGAAGAAGUACCGGCUAACUCCGUGCCAGCAGCCGCGGUAAUACGGAGGGUACAAACGUUAAUCGGAAUUACUGGGCGUAAAGCGCACGUAGGUGGUUUAUUAAGUGGGAUGUGAAAGCCCCGGGCUUAACCUGGGAAUUGCAUUCCAAACUGAUGAACUAGAGUACGAUAGAGGGGGGUAGAAUUCAGAGUGUAGCGGUGAAAUGCGUAGAUAUUCUGAGGAAUACCGGUGGCGAAGGCGGCCCCCUGGAUUGAUACUGACACUGAGGUGCGAAAGCGUGGGGAGCAAACAGG